rnacentral:rRNA from 1 species
CGAACGGGUGAGUAACACGUGGGCAACCUGCCCAAAAGAGGGGGAUAACACUUGGAAACAGGUGCUAAUACCGCAUAACCAUAGUUACCGCAUGGUAACUAUGUAAAAGGUGGCUAUGCUACCGCUUUUGGAUGGGCCCGCGGCGCAUUAGCCAGUUGGUGGGGUAAAGGCUUACCAAGGCAAUGAUGCGUAGCCGAACUGAGAGGUUGAUCGGCCACAUUGGGACUGAGACACGGCCCAAACUCCUACGGAAGGCAGCAG